rnacentral:rRNA from 3 species
UUGACCUCGGAUCAGGUAGGGAUACCCGCUGAACUUAAGCAUAUCAAUAAGCGGAGGAAAAGAAACCAACCGGGAUUGCCCCAGUAACGGCGAGUGAAGCGGCAAGAGCUCAAAUUUGAAAUCUGGCCCCUCCGGG